rnacentral:tRNA from 1 species
GGGCGAUUAGCUCAGUUGGUAGAGCGUUACGUUUACACCGUAAUGGUCGGCGGUUCGAGUCCGUCAUCGCCCA